rnacentral:snoRNA from 1 species
AACACUAUACUUUCAGGGAUCAUUUCUAUAGUUCGUUACUUAUAAUGCUGUUUAUUUCCAUAAAAACAUGUGUGGUCUUCCAAAACC